rnacentral:rRNA from 1 species
GACGUAGGGCGCAAGCGUUAUCCGGAAUUAUUGGGCGUAAAGAGCUCGUAGGCGGUUUGUCGCGUCUGCCGUGAAAGUCAAGGGCUCAACCCUUGGAUGCCGGUGGAUACUGCAGGGCUAGAGUCCGGAAGAGGCGAGUGGAAUUCCUGGUGUAGCGGUGAAAUGCGCAGAUAUCAGGAGGAACACCAAUUGCGAAGGCAGCUCGCUGGGACGUUACUGACGCUGAGACGCGAAAGCGUGGGGAGCAAACAGG